AGAAUUUGUAUUACAACCGCUUUACAGCAGCCAGACCAGCUGGCUUUGGACGGCUUUCUUCUUGCCCCUGUGAGGCCUGACUUCACACUCUCGUCCCUGGGUCUUUCUGCCGGAAGGGAGCUGGGCGACAGAAGUUUGAAGGGUAGGAUCCCAGAUGGACGCUGACACGCUGGGCAUGCGUGUAUGUGACAGGGCUUGGCUCAGGGGAGUGGUGGACCAGCCGCAGCUGUCACUCACAAAUACUGAGUGUGUUAGAUGUGUUUUGUCUUAUUAGUAUUGAUAAAAGUGCAAAAUUGUGCUGAUCGGAGAACAACAAUGGCUGACUAUUCACAAGAGAAAGGGACGAUAUAAGGAAUGAUGCCCUGUUGGUUUGCUUUCUCAUUGUAAAACUUUGCCAG
rnacentral:lncRNA from 1 species